rnacentral:rRNA from 1 species
UACGUAGGGGGCGAGCGUUGUCCGGAAUGACUGGGCGUAAAGGGCGCGUAGACGGUUGUCUAAGUCUGGAGUGAAAGUCCUGCUUUCAAGGUGGGAAUUGCUUUGGAGACUGAAUGACUUGAGUGCGGAAGAGGUAAGUGGAAUUCCCAGUGUAGCGGUGAAAUGCGUAGAGAUUGGGAAGAACACCAGUGGCGAAGGCGACUUACUGGGCCGUAACUGACGUUGAUGCGCGAAAGCGUGGGGAGCGAACAGG